rnacentral:rRNA from 1 species
UACGGAGGGUGCAAGCGUUGUUCGGAAUUAUUGGGCGUAAAGGGCGUGUAGGCGGUUCGUUAAGUCUGAUGUGAAAGCCCCGGGCUCAACCUGGGAAGUGCAUUGGAAACUGGCGAACUUGAGUACGGGAGAGGGCAGUGGAAUUCCUAGUGUAGGAGUGAAAUCCGUAGAUAUUAGGAGGAACACCGGCGGCGAAGGCGGCUGCCUGGACCGAUAUUGACGCUGAUGCGCGAAAGCCAGGGGAGCAAACGGG